UCUCUAAACAAGUGGCUGGAAGAAGCCG
rnacentral:sRNA from 1 species